rnacentral:rRNA from 1 species
CGCGGCCUAUCAGCUUGUUGGUGAGGUAACGGCUCACCAAGGCGAUGACGGGUAGCUGGCGUGAGAGCGCGACCAGCCACACUGGGACUGAGACACGGCCCAGACUCCUACGGGAGGCAGCAGUGGGGAAUAUUGCGCAAUGGGCGAAAGCCUGACGCAGCGACGCCGCGUGGGGGAGGAAGGCCUCAGGGUUGUAAACCCCUGUCAGGUGGGACGAACCCCGAGUCGGAUAAUACCCGGCUCGACUGACGGUACCACCAGAGGAAGCUCCGGCUAACUCCGUGCCAGCAGCCGCGGUAAUACGGAGGGAGCAAGCGUUGUUCGGAAUCACUGGGCGUAAAGGGCGCGUAGGCGGUCGCGUAAGUCGGGUGUGAAAUUCCGGGGCUCAACCCCGUGAACUGCACCCGAUACUGCGUGACUAGAGAGAGGUAGGGGCAAGUGGAAUUCCCGGUGUAGCGGUGGAAUGCGUAGAUAUCGGGAAGAACACCCGUGGCGAAGGCGGCUUGCUGGACCUUUUCUGACGCUGAAGCGCGAAAGCGUGGGGAACAAACAGGAUUAGAUACCCUGGUAGUCCACGCCGUAAACGCUGGGUACUAGGUGUUGGGAGGAUCGACCCUUUCAGUGCCGACGCUAACGCAUUAAGUACCCCGCCUGGGGAGUACGG